GGCGAGGAUCCUGUGCCCUGAUUCUGCUUCCUGCUUUCGUUCCUUAGUGAGGAUGCCCAGCGGGCUGCCACAGCCAGUGGAGACAACAAAGACAUCCCCAAGCCAGGGCUGGCCAGAGAAAUUGAUAAGGAGAUGGAGGCAACGUGAAAAUUUGCCGUGACCUUCCCAUUUUAAAAGACUAACGAGUGGUUGGUUUUGCAUGGUGACCCACCUUUUAGGGCCUUUGGGAAGCAUUUUCAAGUGGCCAGAUACACAGAACACCCACAUAAGUCUGCAAGAUACAAUACAGGAGCAAAAAAACAGGAACAAAAGAAAGACCCCAAAUCCUCCGAGAUGGCAGGGUAGCCACUCCCUCAGAAAACCUAAAUUCCCAGGAAAGGAGUGUAGAUGACAAGAAAGUGAUCAACCAAGCAACUGACUUUGGAACAAGUCAUGUGUAUUAAGAUUGCAAACAAAAAUAAAAUCUCAGAACUUAAA